CCCGGGGUAGGGAAGGUGCAGGGCUGAGG
rnacentral:piRNA from 1 species